rnacentral:rRNA from 1 species
CCUGUUUAUCAAAAACAUGGCCUUUUGGUUUGGGUAAGUAUGAAAGGUUUGACCUGCCCAGUGGUUUUAUCUAAACGGCUGCAGUGAAUAACUGUACAAAGGUAGCGAAAUCAGUUGUCCUUUAAAUGGGGAAAGGUAUGAAAGGUUUGACGAUAAAAAAGCUGUCUCUUAAAAAUAUUAUGAAGUUUCCAUUUAAGUGAAAAGGCUUAAAUUUUUGAAAAAGACGAGAAGACCCUAUUGAGCUUGAUUAUAUUUUUUUAUUAGCGGGGAUUGAAGUUUUAUUGGGGCAAUAGGAAGCUAAAAAGAACGCUUCUUUUUAGAGUAGAGAUCCUUCAUGGGAGAAAUAAGCAAAAGCUACCAUAGGGAUAACAGCGUUAUCUUUCUUGAGAGUUCUGAUUAAGGGAAAGGUUUGCGACCUCGAUGUUGGAUUAAAAUAUCUUUUUGGUGCAGCAGCUAAAAAAGUAAGACUGUUCGUCUUUUAAAAUUUUACGUGAUCUGAGUUCAGACCG